rnacentral:rRNA from 1 species
UACGUAGGGGGCGAGCGUUGUCCGGAUUUAUUGGGCGUAAAGAGCGUGUAGGCGGCCAGGCAGGUCUGCUGUGAAAACUCGAGGCUCAACCUCGAGACGUCGGCGGAAACCAUCUGGCUAGAGUCCGGAAGAGGAGAGUGGAAUUCCCGGUGUAGCGGUGAAAUGCGCAGAUAUCGGGAAGAACACCUAUGGCGAAGGCAGCUCUCUGGGACGGUACUGACGCUGAGACGCGAAAGCGUGGGGAGCGAACAGG